ensembl:ncRNA F32B5.12 ncRNA
AAAUAAAAAAACGUAUUAUUGGUCCCCACAACUUUUCUCCAGGAACAACGAGACAACUGGCUCGGGAGGGGAUAAUCGUCGGAUAAUCGAACGAUUGACACUUGGGGAGAUAUUUUCUGAGACGCAUCGGUGUGUCUGUCUCCUGUG